GACAGAGGGGGCAAGCGUUGUCCGGAAUCACUGGGCGUACAGCGCACGCAGGUGGCCGGCUAAGUGCCGUGUGAAAGCCCCGCGCUCAACGCGGGGAGGCCAGGGCAGACUGGCGGGCUGGAGGGCUGCAGAGGGUGGUGGAAGUGCCGGUGUAGUGGUGAAAUGCGGAGAGAUCGGCAGGAACACCAAGGGCGAAGGCAGCCACCUGGGCAGGCCCUGACACUCAAGUGCGACAGCGUGGGGAGCGAACCGG
rnacentral:rRNA from 1 species